CUUUGUACUAUCCCAGAAUUUCGGCCUAAUGUCACCUCCGCCUUUCAUAUUAAUGAGGAAAUUGUUCUCCCAGCUCUCCAUCCGGUUCCACAAGUAGAUGGUGAUGACAGAGAUCUUUCCUCCUUGAAUUUGGUGAGAUGCCUCAGAAUCUAGAUUGAUAUAACCGCCCCUUGGCGUUCAUCUCCAGGCCUCUUUGUCCUUUUAUAACAGAUGUAGAAUAGGCAGUCAGGCUCCUAAAUCUACCAUUAGCAGAUGGAUUGUAUCAGCCAUCAUCCAAGCUUAU